GCCUGGGUGGCUCAGUCGGUUGAGCAUCCAACUUUGGCUCAGGUCAUGAUCUCACGGUUUGUGGGUUCGAGCCCCGCGUCAGGCU
rnacentral:tRNA from 1 species